rnacentral:rRNA from 1 species
GACGAACGCUGGCGGCGUGCCUAACACAUGCAAGUGGAGCGACGAACCAGGCUUCGGCCUGGGGCAAAGCCGCGAACGGGUGAGUAACACGUGGGUAACCUGCCCCGAUGAUUGGGACAACCCGAGGAAACUCGGGCUAAUACCGAAUGUGCCCUCCGACCGCAAGGUCACUGGGGAAAGGAGCUUCGGCCUCCGCAUCGGGAUGGGCCCGCGGCCCAUUAGCUUGUUGGUGAGGUAACGGCUCACCAAGGCGACGAUGGGUAGCUGGUCUGAGAGGACGAUCAGCCACACUGGGACUGAGACACGGCCCAGACUCCUACGGGAGGCAGCAGUGGGGAAUCUUGCGCAAUGCGCGAAAGCGUGACGCAGCAACGCCGCGU